rnacentral:rRNA from 1 species
GAUGAACGCUGGCGGUAUGCUUAACACAUGCAAGUCGAACGGACUCUUCGGAGUUAGUGGCGGACGGGUGAGUAACGCGUGAGAAUCUGCCUUCAGGUCGGGGACAACAGUUGGAAACGACUGCUAAUACCCGAUGUGCAGCAAUGUGAAAGAUUUAUUGCCUGAAGAUGAGCUCGCGUCUGAUUAGCUAGUAGGUGUGGUAAUGGCGCACCUAGGCGACGAUCAGUAACUGGUCUGAGAGGACGAUCAGCCACACUGGAACUGAGACACGGUCCAGACUCCUACGGGAGGCAGCAGUGGGGAAUUUUCCGCAAUGGGCGAAAGCCUGACGGAGCAAUACCGCGUGAGGGACGAAGGCUUUUGGGUCGUAAACCUCUUUUCUCAAGGAAGAUAAUGACGGUACUUGAGGAAUAAGCAUCGGCUAACUCUGUGCCAGCAGCCGCGGUAAU